rnacentral:rRNA from 1 species
AUUGAACGCUGGCGACAUGCCUUACACAUGCAAGUCGAACGGCAGCACGGGUGCUUGCACCUGGUGGCGAGUGGCGAACGGGUGAGUAAUACAUCGGAACAUGUCCUGUAGUGGGGGAUAGCCCGGCGAAAGCCGGAUUAAUACCGCAUACGAUCUACGGAUGAAAGCGGGGGACCUUCGGGCCUCGCGCUAUAGGGUUGGCCGAUGGCUGAUUAGCUAGUUGGUGGGGUAAAGGCCUACCAAGGCGACGAUCAGUAGCUGGUCUGAGAGGACGACCAGCCACAUUGGGACUGGAACACGGCCCAGCCCCCGCGGGGAGGCAGAGGGGGGGAUUUGUGGACAGUGGGAGAAAGCUUGACCCACAAAGGCCGCGUGUUGAAAGAGGGCUUCCGGGUUAAAAAGCCUUUUUCUCGGAAAAGAAACCUUGGCCCCUAAUGCGGGCGGGGGAGGGGGUUCCGGAAAAAAAAGACCCGGCCAAGCUAGGUC